ACCAGGGUCCCCCUUGAGGGACUCCGGGUGUGUUCUGCACAUCCCGUAGGAUGCCUUAGUCGUCGCCCUGCGUCUCCCGUAGGACGCUGCUUAUGGGCAACUACAUGACUAUCCUGCCUCCCUUAGGAAACUGAUAGGAACCUGGAUAUUUCCCGUAGGAAGCAUGGAGACCUCCUUUUAAGAAAUUGCUAGCGCACCCUACAUCUCCCUUAGGACACUUUUUUAGCAGGCUGCGUCUCCAAAUGGACGCUUCUAGUCGUCACCCUGCGUCUCUCUUAGGACGCUCCUUAUGGGAAACUUGUGCGACUAUCCUGCCUCCCUUAGGAAACGGAUAGGAACCUGGAUAUUUCCCGUAGGAAGCAUG
rnacentral:lncRNA from 1 species